rnacentral:rRNA from 1 species
GACGAACGCUGGCGGCGUGCUUAACACAUGCAAGUUGAACGCGAACAUUUCCUUCGGGAAAUUAGUAGAGUAGCGAACGGGUGAGUAACGCGUGGGUAAUCUACCUUUAGGCUAGGGAUAACCUCUCGAAAGAGGGGCUAAUACCUAAUAAUCUCUUACGAGCAAAGAUGGCUUCUUCUUAGCUAUCGCCUAAAGAUGAGCCUGCGUCCCAUUAGCUAGUUGGUGAGGUAAAAGCUUACCAAGGCGACAAUGGGUAGCCGACCUGAGAGGGUGAUCGGCCACACUGGGACUGAGACACGGCCCAGACUCCUACGGGAGGCUGCAGUGGGGAAUCUUCCGCAAUGGGCGCAAGCCUGACGGAGCAACGCCGCGUGAGUGAUGAAGGCUUUCGAGUCGUAAAACUCUGUCCUUUGGGAAGAAUACUUUAGUUACUAAUACUAGCUAAAGCUGACGGUACCAUUGGAGGAAGCUCUGGCUAACUACGUG